rnacentral:rRNA from 1 species
CCUACGGGAGGCAGCAGUAAGGAAUAUUGGACAAUGGACGCAAGUCUGAUCCAGCCAUGCCGCGUGAAGGAUUAAGGCCCUCUGGGUUGUAAACUUCUUUUAUAGGGGACGAAAAAAGGGCUUUCUAGCUCGACUGACGGUACCCUAUGAAUAAGCACCGGCUAACUCCGUGCCAGCAGCCGCGGUAAUACGGAGGGUGCAAGCGUUAUCCGGAUUCACUGGGUUUAAAGGGUGCGUAGGCGGGCAGUUAAGUCAGUGGUGAAAUCUUCGAGCUCAACUCGGAAACUGCCAUUGAUACUAUCUGUCUUGAAUAUUGUGGAGGUGAGCGGAAUAUGUCAUGUAGCGGUGAAAUGCUUAGAUAUGACAUAGAACACCAAUUGCGUAGGCAGCUCGCUACACAAAUAUUGACGCUGAGGCACGAAAGCGUGGGGAUCAAACAGGAUUAGAUACCCUGGUAGUCCACGCCCUAAACCUAUGAUUACUCGACAUAUGCGAUACACUGUAUGUGUCUGAGCGAAAGCAUUAAGUAAUCCACCCUGGAAGUACGACCGCAAGGUUGAAACUCAAAGGAAUUUAGACGG